GGAUGUGAAGGUGAUCUGGCUGUGACACCUGUCAUCCCAUUGACCACCAGCAUUGUUUCGGCUGAUCUAGCUGGAUGGGCGGGUGUCCCCUACCUUGCUCAUGUCUCCAUGUACAUCCAUCUAGAAGCUGCGGGCCUAGUGGAAGAGGACAAUCUUCCCUGAUAGAGGAGGACCGUUCUUCAGUCAAGGGCAUAGGAGCAGCUGUUCUCCUUGCUAAAACUUCCAAACAAGCUCCCAAAUGAAAUAAAUAAGAUCUUUAAAAUCCCAUCUGCAUCCAGUGCUAGCUAGAUGGCCUUGGGCAUGUCCCCUAGCCUCU
ensembl:misc_RNA 7SK 7SK RNA